rnacentral:rRNA from 1 species
GUGUCAGCAGCCGCGGUAAUACAGAGGUCCCGAGCGUUGUUCGGAUUCACUGGGCGUAAAGGGUGCGUAGGUGGCGAGGUAAGUCGGAUGUGAAAUCUCGGAGCUCAACUCCGAAACUGCAUUGGAAACUACCUGGCUAGAGGUUUGAAGGGGGGACUGGAAUGCUUGGUGUAGCAGUGAAAUGCGUAGAUAUCAAGCGGAACACCAGUGGCGAAGGCGAGUCCCUGGACAACACCUGACACUGAGGCACGAAAGCUAGGGGAGCAAACAGGAUUAGAUACCCCGGUAGUCG